UCUCCGAUAGCUCAACGGUAGAGCAGGCGGCUGUUAACCGCAAGGUUCUUGGUUCGAAUCCAAGUCGGAGAGCCC
rnacentral:tRNA from 1 species